UACAGAGGUCCCAAGCGUUGUUCGGAUUCAUUGGGCGUAAAGGGUGCGUAGGCGGCGCGGUAAGUCGGGUGUGAAAUCUCGGAGCUUAACUCCGAAACUGCAUUCGAUACUGCCGUGCUUGAGGACUGGAGAGGAGACUGGAAUUUACGGUGUAGCGGUGAAAUGCGUAGAUAUCGUAAGGAAGACCAGCGGCGAAGGCGGGUCUCUGGACAGUUCCUGACGCUGAGGCACGAAGGCCAGGGAGCAAACGGG
rnacentral:rRNA from 1 species